GGACUGAGAUACUGCCCAGACUCCUACGGGAGGCUGCAGUCGAGGAUCAUUUGCAAUGGGCGAAAGCCUGACAAUGCGACGCUGCGUGGAGGAUGAAGGCCUUCGGGUUGUAAACUCCUGUCAUGGGGGAACAGGCGAGGGGACCCAAUACGUCCCUUAGUUGAGUGUACCCCAAGAGGAAGCGACGGCUAACUCUGUGCCAGCAGCCGCGGUAAUACAGAGGUCGCGAGCGUUGUUCGGAUUUACUGGGCGUAAAGGGCGCGUAGGCGGCGGAGCGUGUCGGAUGUGAAAUCCCCGGGCCCAACCCGGGAAGUGCGUCCGAAACUGCCCCGCUGGAGGACGGAAGAGGGAAUCGGAAUAUAGGGUGUAGCGGUGAAAUGCGUUGAUAUCCUAUAGAACACCGGAUGCGAAGGCGGAUUCCUGGUACGUAUCUGACGCUGAGGCGCGAAAGUCGGGGGAGCAAACAGGAUUAGAUACCCUGGUAGUCCCGACCUUAAACGGUGCACGCUCGGGGUGGGGGGACUUCAACCCCCCCGUCCCUUAGCUAACGCGUUAAGCGUGCCGCCUGGGGAGUACGGCCGCAAGGUUAAAACUCAAAGAAAUUGACGGGGGCCCGCACAAGCAGAGGAGCAUGUGGCUUAAUUCGAUGCAACGCGAAGAACCUUACCUGGGCUUGACAUGGAGCUGCGCGGUCCGUGAAAGCGGACCUCCUUCGAGGGAGCUCCACAGGUGCUGCAUGGCUGUCGUCAGUUCGUGCCGUGAGGUGUUUGGUUAAGUCCACCAACGAACGCAACCCCCUUGGCCAGUUGCCAGCGGAUGAUGCCGGGAACUCUGGCCACACUGCCCGUUCACGCGGGAGGAAGGUGGGGAUGACGUCAAGUCAGUAUGGCCCUUACGCCCAGGGCCGCACACGUGCUACAAUGGCCGGUACAGAGGGAUGCGAAGCCGCGAGGCGGAGCCAACCCCCCAGAGCCGGCCCCAG
rnacentral:rRNA from 1 species